rnacentral:rRNA from 1 species
CCUACGGGAGGCUGCAGUGAGGAAUAUUGGUCAAUGGACGAAAGUCUGAACCAGCCAAGUAGCGUGCAGGAUGACUGCCCUAUGGGUUGUAAACUUCUUUUAUACGGGAAUAAAACACGUUAUGUAUACUCUCUUGUAUGUACCAUAUGAAUAAGGAUCGGCUAACUCCGUGCCAGCAGCCGCGGUAAUACGGAGGGUCCGGGCGUUAUCCGGAUUUAUUGGGUUUAAAGGGAGCGUAGGCGGAUUGUUAAGCGAGUUGUGAAAGUCUGUGGCUCAACCGUGGAAUUGCAGUGGGAACUGGCAGGCUUGAGUGCAGGAGAGGUAGGCGGAAUUCGUGGUGUAGCGGUGAAAUGCUUAGAUAUCACGAAGAACUCCGAUUGCGAAGGCAGCUCACGGGAGUGCAACUGACACUGAUGCUCGAAGGUGGGGGUAUCGAACAGGAUUAGAUACCCGGGUAGUC